rnacentral:rRNA from 1 species
UACGUAGGGUCCGAGCGUUGUCCGGAAUUACUGGGCGUAAAGAGCUUGUAGGCGGUUUGUCGCGUCUGCCGUGAAAAUCCGGGGCUCAACCCCGGACUUGCGGUGGGUACGGGCAGACUAGAGUGUGGUAGGGGAGACUGGAGUUCCUGGUGUAGCGGUGAAAUGCGCAGAUAUCAGGAGGAACACCGGUGGCGAAGGCGGUUCUCUGGGCAUGAUCUGACGCUGAGGAGCGAAAGUGUGGGGAGCGAACAGG